UACGAAGGGGGCUAGCGUUGCUCGGAAUCACUGGGCGUAAAGGGUGCGUAGGCGGGUCUUUAAGUCAGGGGUGAAAUCCUGGAGCUCAACUCCAGAACUGCCUUUGAUACUGAAGAUCUUGAGUUCGGGAGAGGUGAGUGGAACUGCGAGUGUAGAGGUGAAAUUCGUAGAUAUUCGCAAGAACACCAGUAGCGAAGGCGGCUCACUGGCCCGAUACUGACGCUGAUGCACGAAAGCGUGGGGAGCAAACAGG
rnacentral:rRNA from 1 species